rnacentral:misc_RNA from 1 species
UUUUCCUAAAAUGUAUAUAUUAAAAUAAUAUCAUCACAUGUAAAACCAAUUAACUAAUUUGACUUAAAACAGAAUUCAAUCAAAUUUUCACUCGAAAAAUAAACGCGGCUUCUUAGCAGGCAUGGGACUUUCCACUUCUUGUUCAAUCGGAUGUUGAGUUCUACCUCCGCAGUCAAUUGUCAGAUCCAAUUGCCAUCCCGGCGAGGCAGGCAUGUUUAGGUCAAAGUCACGCGCAAUCGGAGUCGACGCGCCGCCGCCGCCGUUGCCGCUUCCGCCGUCUGAUGUAGUCACAACGCUUCCACUAUGAACGCCUCCGCCUUCUCCGCCACCGCCGAUAUAACGAUUGUUACCGCCGAGUUUACCUUCGUAGUGGCGGCGUUUGUGUCCACCCAAAGCUUGUCCAGUUGGAAAAGCCUUUUGACAAAUAGAGCACACGUGAGAACGGCCACUCGGAUUCAGAGCAGAGAUAUUAACGCCGCCGCCGCUAGUGGAAGUAGACGUCGACGGAUUGCUAUCAUCGUCUCCGGUGGCGGGAACGUUAAUUUUACGGUGACUUGCUUUAUGCCCACCAAGUGCUUGAUAAGAAGUAAAAACUUUAGGACACUCGCUACACCUGAAUAAUUGCUCUGUUUUUUCUUUAACAACAACCGGCUUCAGUAAUUGCUCUGUUUUUUCUUUAU